rnacentral:rRNA from 1 species
UACGUAGGUGGCAAGCGUUGCCCGGAUUUACUGGGCGUAAAGAGCGCGCAGGCGGUCGUGCAAGUCGGGUGUGAAAGCCCCCGGCUCAACUGGGGAGGGUCACGCGAUACUGCUCGACUCGAAGGCAGGAGAGGGAAGUGGAAUUCCCGGUGUAGUGGUGAAAUGCGUAGAUAUCGGGAGGAACACCAGUGGCGAAGGCGACUUCCUGGCCUGUACUUGACGCUGAGGCGCGAAAGCUAGGGUAGCAAACGGG